rnacentral:rRNA from 1 species
AUUGAACGCUGGCGGCAUGCUUUACACAUGCAAGUCGAACGGCAGCGCGGGCUUCGGCCUGGCGGCGAGUGGCGAACGGGUGAGUAAUACAUCGGAACGUGCCCAGUAGUGGGGGCUAGCUCGGCGUAAGCCGGAUUAAUACCGCAUACGACCUGAGGGUGAAAGCGGGGGAUCUUCGGACCUCGCGCUAUUGGCGCGGCCGAUGGCAGAUUAGCUAGUUGGUGGGGUAAAGGCCUACCAAGGCGACGAUCUGUAGCUGGUCUGAGAGGACGACCAGCCACACUGGGACUGAGACACGGCCCAGACUCCUACGGGAGGCAGCAGUGGGGAAUUUUGGACAAUGGGCGAAAGCCUGAUCCAGCAAUGCCGCGUGUGUGAUGAAGGCCUUCGGGUUGUAAAGCACUUUUAGCGGGAACGAAAAGGACUGUGCCAAUACCACGGUUCGAUGACGGUACCCGCAGAAUAGGCACCGGCUAACUACGUG